rnacentral:rRNA from 1 species
UUAGAUACCCUGGUAGUCCACGCCGUAAACGAUGUCGACUUGGAGGUUGUGCCCUUGAGGCGUGGCUUCCGGAGCUAACGCGUUAAGUCGACCGCCUGGGGAGUACGGCCGCAAGGUUAAAACUCAAAUGAAUUGACGGGGGCCCGCACAAGCGGUGGAGCAUGUGGUUUAAUUCGAUGCAACGCGAAGAACCUUACCUACUCUUGACAUCCAGAGAACUUUCCAGAGAUGGAUUGGUGCCUUCGGGAACUCUGAGACAGGUGCUGCAUGGCUGUCGUCAGCUCGUGUUGUGAAAUGUUGGGUUAAGUCCCGCAACGAGCGCAACCCUUAUCCUUUGUUGCCAGCGGUUAGGCCGGGAACUCAAAGGAGACUGCCAGUGAUAAACUGGAGGAAGGUGGGGAUGACGUCAAGUCAUCAUGGCCCUUACGAGUAGGGCUACACACGUGCUACAAUGGCGCAUACAAAGAGAAGCGACCUCGCGAGAGCAAGCGGACCUCAUAAAGUGCGUCGUAGUCCGGAUUGGAGUCUGCAACUCGACUCCAUGAAGUCGGAAUCGCUAGUAAUCGUAGAUCAGAAUGCUACGGUGAAUACGUUCCCGGGCCUUGUACACACCGCCCGUCACACCAUGGGAGUGGGUUGCAAAAGAAGUAGGUAGCUUAACCUUCGGGA